rnacentral:lncRNA from 1 species
UUGCCGACUAUAUCAAAGUUGCCUUCACGGGUGUAGAAUUUGACGGCGAAUCCACGGGGGUCACGGAGGGUUUCGGGGCUGCCGCGUUCGUGGAUGACGGUGGAGAAACGGACGAUGACGGGGGUUUGGACGCCUGGGGCACGGAGGAAGUCGGCGCAGGUUAAGUCGGAGACGUCGUGGGUAACUUCGAAGAAACCUUUGGCGCUGGCACCACGAGCGUGGACCACUCGUUCAGGAAUUCUUUCGCGGGUGAAGGUGGCGAUUUUUUCGAUGAGUUGGUAAUCUUCUAACAGGAUUGGGCCUCGUUCUCCGACGGACAUUACGGCGGUGUUGUUCCAUACUGGUGCACCGGAGUUUGUU